rnacentral:rRNA from 1 species
UACGAAGGGGGCUAGCGUUGUUCGGAAUCACUGGGCGUAAAGGGCGCGUAGGCGGCCGAUCAAGUCGGGGGUGAAAGCCUGUGGCUCAACCACAGAAUUGCCUUCGAUACUGUUUGGCUUGAGACCGGAAGAGGUUAGUGGAACUGCGAGUGUAGAGGUGAAAUUCGUAGAUAUUCGCAAGAACACCAGUGGCGAAGGCGGCUGACUGGUCCGGUACUGACGCUGAGACGCGAAAGCGUGGGGAGCGAACAGG